rnacentral:lncRNA from 1 species
CACCACUGCAAGAGGGGAAGUUGCUACUGUGAUGAAUUCUGCCAUGUGGUACCAGACUGCUACCCAGACCACAGUGUCCUCUGCAACCCUCGUAACUCACAUACAGGCCUGAUUCCACCUACAGCAAAGCUGGAUGCUAUGGUUGGCAGAGGCAAACCCUUUGCCUGCACUUCAGGCCAAAGCCGGGAUGUGGCCUAGAUGGUUCCUAAGGUCCCUGACAAUCCUGAGAUCUUGCAUCUUGUCUAUUUCAGGUCAAAGCUUCUCAGAUGACCAAGAUGGUGCUGCAGAUGGUGCUGAGGAUGGAGAACCCACCAAGCCCCGCUAGGAGCCACCUAGACUGGAUGUAGAGCAUGGGGUAGGAGCCAGGAUUGCUGUCUGUGGACACUGAAAUUUGAAUCUCAUAUACUUUUCAUGUGUGACAAAACAUUAUUCUUCUUUUGUUCUUCUCCUACCAUCUAAAAAUGUAGAAAACAUUCUUAACCUAUGAGUUGCACAAAAACAGGCAGUGGCCAGAUUUGGCCCAUAGACCAUAGUUUGCUGACUUCUGCCCUAAAUCAUCCUCCAUUUCUUUCCUUCUGUGUCCUUGUUACUGACAAAGCCACUUUCCCUAAAAUGGGGUCUUUCCCUGUUUGGUGCCAUGAAGCCAA